GUCGAGCGAACUGAUUAGAAGCUUGCUUCUAUGACGUUAGCGCCCUUUUGUGAGUAACACGUGGGCAACCUGCCUGUAAGACUGUUUAUAACUUCGGGAAACCGAAGCUAAUACCGGAUAGGAUCUUCUCCUUCAUGGGAGAUGAUUGAAAGAUGGUUUCGGCUAUCACUUACAGAUGGGCCCGCGGUGCAUUAGCUAGUUGGUGAGGUAACGGCUCACCAAGGCAACGAUGCAUAGCCGACCUGAGAGGGUGAUCGGCCACACUGGGACUGAGACACGGCCCAGACUCCUACGGGAGGCAGCAGUAGGGAAUCUUCCGCAAUGGACGAAAGUCUGACGGAGCAACGCCGCGUGAGUGAUGAAGGCUUUCGGGUCGUAAAACUCUGUUGUUAGGGAAGAACAAGUACAAGAGUAACUGCUUGUACCUUGACGGUACCUAACCAGAAAGCCACGGCUAACUACGUGCCAGCAGCCGCGGUAAUACGUAGGUGGCAAGCGUUAUCCGGAAUUAUUGGGCGUAAAGCGCGCGCAGGCGGUUUCUUAAGUCUGAUGUGAAAGCCCACGGCUCAACCGUGGAGGGUCAUUGGAAACUGGGGA
rnacentral:rRNA from 1 species